rfam:Angomonas deanei Cont6361, whole genome shotgun sequence.
CCCCCCCCCGGGUUUAAAAAACCCCGGGGGGUUUUUUUUUUUUAAAAACCCCCCGUUUUUUAAAACCCCCCGGGGGGGGGGGUAAAAAAAAAAAAAAAAACCCGGGGUUUUUUUAAAAAAAAAAAACGGGUUUUUUAAAAAAAACCCGGUUUUUUUAAACCCCCGGGGGUUUUACCCCCCCCCCCGGGGGGGUUUUAAAAACCCGGGUUUUUUUUUUUUUAAAACCGGGGGGUUUACCCCCGGGGGUUUUUUUUUUAAACCCGGGGGGUUUUUUUUAAAAACCCGGGGGGGUUUUAAAAAAA